rnacentral:rRNA from 1 species
UACGAAGGUGGCAAGCGUUGUUCGGAUUUACUGGGCGUACAGGGCGCGUAGGCGGUUGGGUAAGCCCUCCGUGAAAUCUCCGGGCCUAACCCGGAAAGUGCGGAGGGGACUGCUCGGCUAGAGGAUGGGAGAGGAGCGCGGAAUUCCCGGUGUAGCGGUGAAAUGCGUAGAGAUCGGGAGGAAGGCCGGUGGCGAAGGCGGCGCUCUGGAACAUUUCUGACGCUGAGGCUCGAAAGCGUGGGGAGCAAACAGG